UUGACUCGGUCAAACUCGCAAAAAAACGGGUUGACUCGGUAAAAACGUAAAAAACGUAACGAUUCCACGAGUUAUUAAAAAAUUUCACUUUCACACCGUUUCACGCCUUCACGCUCACAGUUUCACUUCACCAAAAGGCAAAUGCAGAGUUGCAGAGGGCAGACAAAUAGAAAUGCAAAAUUGCAAAGCACCAGUCUCUUUCCAGUUUCCAAGUCCCCAUCUCCCACUCUCCCCGUCUCCCUGACCUGACUCCUUUUCCCUUUCCCCUUCCCCCUUUCCCCUUUCCCCUUUCCCCAGCAAUUUAAGAAAUCAAUUUCCCCCGAUCCGGAGCGUUCUUGGUGAGACGAAGAUUCUGUAAUUUUGCAUAAACAACGAAGGAACGAAGCAGAUUUCCAGGAUUGCACUCUUGUCAAGGUCACUUUCCAUUAACUUUAACUAAGCUUCUUAAUUAUAUGUAAUUUGUCUACGUAUUCUGUGAAUGUGUUUAAUUGCUUGCUUGCUGUUUUUGUGUGUUGUAAUUUCUUGUAAUUAAGCUUCUUGAUUCUCGGUUC